rnacentral:rRNA from 1 species
CCUACGUGAGUCAGCAGUGAGGAAUAUUUGUCAAUGGACGAGAGUCUGAACCAGCCAAGUAGCGUGAAGGAUGACUGCCCUAUGGGUUGUACACUUCUUUUAUAUGGGAAUACAACAGGGUAUGCAUACCCUCUUGUAUGUACCAUCUGAAUAAGGAUCGGCUAACUCCGGGCCAGCAGCCGCGGUAAUACGGAGGAUCCGAGCGUUAUCCGGAUUUAUUGGGUUUAACGGGGGCGUAGUUGGAUUGUUAAGUCAGUUGUGAAAGUUUGCGGCUCAACCGUAAAAUUGCAGUUGACACUGGCAGUCUUGAGUACAGUAGAGGUGGGCGGAAUUCGUGGUGUAGCGGUGAAAUGCUUAG